UACAUGGGGUGCAAACGUUGCUCGGAAUCAUUGGGCGUAAAGAGCGUGUAGGCGGCCAGGUAGGUCUGCUGUGAAAACUCGAGGCUCAACCUCGAGACGUCGGCGGAAACCAUCUGGCUAGAGUCCGGAAGAGGCGAGUGGAAUUCCCGGUGUAGCGGUGAAAUGCGCAGAUAUCGGGAGGAACACCUAUGGCGAAGGCAGCUCGCUGGGACGUUACUGACGCUGAGACGCGAAAGCGUGGGGAGCAAACAGG
rnacentral:rRNA from 1 species